ensembl:lncRNA
GUCAGGAGUGUGCCAGUCCACCCUGAGCCGAGCCAUGCCAGCUGUGUGGGACGGAAUCAUCCGAAUGUCAUCCAGCAUGGUUGGGAACAGGCUGGAGGCUGGCACUGUGCGCGAUGGGUGGCUUCUGGGUGAGUAAAUGCUUUAUUCGUGUAAUUGUCCCGUAUGUAUAAACCAGCGUAAUGCACAUCUGGGGCUUGUGCACAUCCAAAUAUCAUGUUUCUCUGACGUGUUCAGUAUUCACGUCAGUAAAAGCGGGCGUAAAGUUAGAAAUGUCGCCCGCGGUGCACUUCUGCACGGUGGGACGGUGGUGAUGCCUGGACAGGUCGGGGGGGAUGCUACUGUACAGACCUGAGAAGGUGUGCCACAUUGUGAUGGCCUGUGGCGUCCUCCACAAUGUGGCACACCGCCAUGGCAUACCACUGCCAGAGCAGCACAACCCCCCACUGGAGGAACCGGAUGCCGGACCCGUCAACUGUAACCCACCCCGAGGAGCCAUACGGGCCCGGAAGAAUGUGAUUUCAAGCAUGUAAAGAGCACAGCUCGGGUGAGGACACGGCCGGUCGGGUGGUCAGCAGAUGAAUGGAGGCCGACGGAGGAGACGCCGGGGCUGGAGACGCCGGGGCCGACGGAGGAGACGCCGGGGCCGAUGGAGGAGACUCCGGGGCCGACGGAGGAGACGCCGAGGCCGACGGAGCAAUCCGUGCCCUCUCCUUGCUUGUCUAUUCAAAAAUAAAAAAUUUAAGUUAAUAAACACGAGUCAAAGUCUUUAAUAUCCUGGCAUCUUUACGCACGACUUAUGUGUAUUGUAAGCAGCCAAUUGUAUGACCAGUAUAAUUACAGCAUUUAUGACUUCAGCAUAUUUACUUUGGGGAUGAUCGGUGUCCCCUUC